rnacentral:rRNA from 1 species
GUUUGGUUACCGAGCCUCUGUAAAGCUCCUUCGACGAGUYGAGUAGUUUGGGAAUGYUGCUCUAAAUGGGAGGUAAAUUUCUUCUAAAGCUAAAUACCGGCCAGAGACCGAUAGCGCACAAGUAGAGUGAUMGAAAGAUGAAAAGCACUUUGAAAAGAGGGUUAAAUAGCACGUGAAAUUGUUGAAAGGGAAGCGUUUAUGACCAGACUUUUUCCUAGCGGAUCAUCCGGCGUUCUCGCCGGUGCACUUCGCUAGGUUUAGGCCAGCAUCGGUUUUCGCAGGGGGAUAAAAGCAGUGGUAAUGUGGCUCCCUCCGGGGAGUGUUAUAGACCGCUGUAUAAUACC